rnacentral:lncRNA from 1 species
AGUGAAUGAUCCUUCUGGUGUGAGUAAGCAAGAUAGAACAAUGAUUUGAAGGUGUUUUUUUUUUUUUUUUUUUUUUUUUUUUUUUUUUUUUUUCCCAAGAGAAGGGUUCUGUACAUAGGAUGGGUUCAAGGCAGAGGCUCGCAGUCAGCAUUUGACAUCUUGAGUCUGGCCUUUCCAUCGCUGUUUCAAGGCACCAAAGGUACCCUUCACGGCAGAAGCUCCCCGGCGCCCUGGAGCCAGCCGCUGGAGCUGAUCUCAGCUAAUCCCCGAGCCAGCU